ensembl:lncRNA
GGGAACAAUGGGGUGGCUGUGGUUGGGCUGGGGGAUCUCAGAGGGCUUUUCCAGCCUGAAUAGUUCUGUCACUGUGUGCAUUUUCCAGAAGUCCUGAGCCUGAGAUACAAAACUAUGUGGGCAUGUGCAUGAGUGCAUGGCUGCAGCUUCUGCUUGCAUUUCCACACUAUUACACAUCCAUGCAUUUUUUUUUACCCUUGAGAAUUAAACCAGCUAAAUCAGCAGUAACUUGACUGAAAAAAUGACUUCUGGUUAUUCAAGAAGAAAAUCACUCCAGUUUGCAAUCCAAGUCCAGGGAAGAGCACACAGACCAGAGUUUGUGCUCCAGGAAAAGAGGUUGGACAACGGCUUUCCAUCAUUAAGCUUUUCCCCCAAGUUCCUUUGAUACCUUCCAUGCAGAGCAGCCAGGAGAUGCAGCAGCUCCCUCACCCUGACACCUUUGCAUAAUUCUCGCCUCCAAAAUUUCCUCCAAUAGAAAAUCCAAGUGCUCAGCCCUCCCAGCCCAGCACAUAUGCUGCUGUAACUGUUUCCAGCCUGUUUCUGCAACAGGAGGGACAAGAACAUGAAAUCUAACCACCAAGUGCCUCAAAAGGGUUUGGACUGGUCCAGGCUUCAAACUGCUUACUGUAGGAACAAGGAGGACAACAACCAUAGAUCUACAUUUGUUGUCCACAGGAGAGAAAAUGUUGCACCACUUGCUCCAAGGCACAGCUCGUGCAAGCAAUGAAAAAACUAUGCUCCCUUCAGCAAGAAACCUCCUAGGAAAGCACAAAGCCCUACCAGCUCAUGUUUCAGGAGGCCAGACGAACAAAAGGCUUAGCAGAGCUGGAUUCCCUGCAUGUAUGUGCCUCUGGUGUCUGACUAGGCUGCAGCUCCAUCAACAUAUCCAACAGAGCCCGGGGCAAAGCUGCAGAAAAACACCCAGCACAUUCAAUUUACAAACAGAAAUAAACACCUUUUCAGCAGGUUCUACAUAAUCACCAAGCAAAACCAGAGGAGGAAGGAAAAAAAAAAAAGCAGAACACAACAUUUUUUAUCUUGCUGGCGUGUGGCGGUGACCCUUUAUUUUCUCAAGGAAAUAAUGCUAUUAUUGAGAGAUGUCUAGCACUGGGAUCUGAAGCAGCAUCGCAAUCUCCUUGCGUGUCACUGCUGGCUCCGGUGUCCCACCUCAACAGAGCUGUGCCCACGCAGGGCUGUGUCCCUGGUCCCUGUGGGUGGCAUAUCCCUGUCCCCAUCCCCAGGACUGAGGCCACCUCUCCAUGCCGAAAGCACAGCCACACCACACAGCUUCAGCUGAGCGUGUGAAAAUGAACCAGAGAUGAAAACGUCUGAAGCAAUAAAUUAACACACACAGCAGGGGGUGAGAGCUUAAUCCUCCCUCGUGCAAACAGCCCCUGACACCCAUUCCGCGUAGAGGCGGUGAGACAUGGUGGCAGCACCAGAGUGUGAUUCCUCCUCCUAACAUGAUCUAAGGCAUUGCAGUGGGUAUGUGAUGUGCUUCUGGGAGGGAACUUGCUUUACAGUGUUUGUGCACUGCAUGCAGGUUAAGUCGCCCGUGCAUUUCUUUGGCUUCCUUGUUUUGAUUUGCUAAGAAAGAGUGUGCUUUAAGUUUAAGCAGAACUUUAUUAUUUUAGGUCUUUGCUGAACGUCUUACAAUAACAGCUCAUUCUUCAUAUGAAGGCUAAUAAUGUCUAACUAAUGCUCACAUAACAUAAAGCAUUACAGUCUUGACUGUAUGCAUUUAUUUGUAGAAUGAUUAAACAACUGAGAUAAAACCAACACAAGGCUGAAUAUUAGCAGCUGGCAUCCAACAGUAAGCAUAUUUACGACAAUUUAAUAUUUACUGCAGAGAACCAUAAUACCUAUAUGAAACUAAUAUACUGAAAGUUUCAAAAUACAUUUUUUUAAUAUAACUGAUGUAUAUUUCCGCAAAACCUUCUUUCAGGCAAAUAUCUGCCUGGUAUUUAGCACCAAUGGCAGAUAAACACAAAUGUUGAGGCCAAGAACCUUAUUGAAAAAUUAAGCGUCCUGGGAAACAUACGUAAUUUGGUGCUUUCCCUAAUAUCACACCAAACUUUCAGGUACGCCCUUGUAAACCUACACUGAUUUCAGCUUUUACUAGGAUGCUGGGUCUUCUUACAUUCAGCUGCAUAUAUAUUGAAACUGAAGAAACCCAUGAGCUCAUGGGCCAAUUGAGAGAGCACUUAGAGACUUUUUUCCCCUUCUUUGGCUGAAAUUCAGAAAUUUGAACACGAGACGAAAAGAUGAAAUCCAUAAUUUGUGCACAGCUUCACACAUCCCACACUGAUCUGCUGGGUGCAAAACAGCUUUCUCCAUGAAAAUAUCUGACUGCUAGCAAUGCCAAGAUCUUCUGGCUCCUUAGGAAGAGCAAUAAAUAAUGACAAGAUGAAACGCAUAGAAUUAUACCAAUACACAUUUACGUUCUGUGGGUCAGAUGAUACAGCUCAACACCAUAUUUACCACCAGCAUCACCUUAAAGGCAGUUUGGGACAAGAAGUGAUAAAAAAAACGGAGACUACCAGAUCUGUAGGUGUUGGCACUGCUUCUAAAGAUCAAGGCCCACCAGCCCAUGGGGUUUCUCACAGGCUGGUCCUUGCCCAUCUCAUUAGCCACCAGACUGAGACAGGGGCCUGUACCUGGGACUUAUUAUAUUCCCCUUGGAGCCACUCAGAAAUUCAAUAGAACUUUAUCAAACAGUUUCAUAUCCCAAACACUAUGGAAAAACACGAAAACAUGAUGAGUAUGGACAGCAGCAUCUCCACUUUCACUGAGGGAGCAUUGGGAAAAGUGCAUGAGCGGCCUCAGCCCAAACUGACAGCAUCCAACAGCUCACCGGGGAAGCACCACCACAGCUACAAGUGUCACCACAACUCUCUCCCUGUACAUUCUACGGCCAUAUUGUUGUAUGUUCAUAUAUCACUCCCUUUUCCCACUGUUUGGGGUUUUGUGCAUGGAGGGUGUGUUUGGUUUCCUCAGGCAGUGCCCUUCCAUAACAUCACAUGGCUCACUGUGGCUCCAGGACCAUAAGAUAAUAAAAGUAGGCUGCGGUAUUGAGAAAAUGAUGUAUGCCCACAUUUAUACCUAACAAAAUCAGACUUGAUACUUCACCUCUUUGCAGCACGUACAUAGUGGUUCGCACUUGCAAAAAUUGAGAGCAACCUCAACAUUAAUGCCACCUCUCUGACAAGGUAGUUUUAUAUACUCAAUUACCGCUGCAUUAUCUUUCAUCUCUACUAUAUGUGAAAACAGUAAAAACCAAAUAUAUUUCACUUACCUUUCCCUCAUUCAAAAGAGUUUGCCUUUGUCUUCCUUUACCCUAUUCACUGACAGCAAACUUCAUGAAUUAACUGGCUCACGGUAUAACUCAUGCAUGGAAAUCCAAUAUAACCUCUUGGCUAUAAGCAGUAACACGUCGCUUAUUGUAAACUGAAAGAAUUUUUACUAGUUAAUUAAGAUUUGUUUGCUUAAUUUUUUUCAGGCAGUUCGGGAUGUUGCCGUUCUAUCAUUUGGCUGGGAAAAUCGUGAUGUAUACACUGUAUAAAAGUGCCAAAAUAAGAAAUGUUAGACCGCAGUGUCUUGCGGUAGUAAAUCUUUUUUGUAAUCCUAACUUCAUAUUUCCAUUGAAUUGUUCCUCUCGAGCUGUGCAGACAGUUGAAGUAUUUGAGCAGAGUCACACACGCUUUGCUGCUGCUAACAGCCUAAAGUUAGUAAUCGGGAGGCACAUGUACAGUGCCGAGCGUGCUGUUGGCACUCCUCAGGCUGCAAAAUAUUACAGCACACCUUAUAUAGUGCUUGCUUUCGAAAUUUCCUUUGCACUUUGUUUACUAUAUAUUCCAAUAGUGUAAUAUUAAACAAAAACAGUGUGUCCUGUGCCAGAAUGAUUGAUUACUACACCGUGGCAAGGUCACCUCCUAGGAACAGGCUGAGUGCAGUAAGGGCUGUCUGACUCAUACAGUUAACACUAUAUCCGCAUUGUAUGAAUGUCACCAGCAAUCCAGUGAUUUAUUGCUUGGAAGGCUCUGUUCAAUUUUUUCUGCCUGACCAAAUUGCACAUUUUCUAGAAAAAGAAGCAAAAAAAUUUCAGCACAUGGAUUACCCCAAGUCCUCAUUUCUCCCACUAGGUUCAACGAGUCUUUUCAAAGAUGCUGAUCACCACAACCCUAUAUUUUUCACUUUUUUUCCACCCUCUUCUGCCUGAUAUUUGGGAAAAAAUGAUUAUUACACAAAUGAAAAGGUGCAGUAGAAGAUUAAGGGUUUUUUAAUCAGAUUUUGGUAACAUCUGUGGGCCGGGAAUAAGGGCAGCUGUAUGUUCUGUUUCUUAAUUUUAGUAAGAUUUACUCUGGAUAUAAAACGUCAGCCUCGGGCAAAAUUUAACUGGCUAAAAGAAAAGAAAUGAUAGUCUUACAGAAACCACCGAACUCAAACUGUUUGAAAACAGUGACUGAGAUUAAUCCCUUUUGCUCUAAGAAAUUCCUACUUUCUGACAAAGAAGAUAUAAUUAUAGAUUGAGAGAAAUGACUUUCAAAAUUAACAUUCCAGCAGUCCCAGACAUAAUAGAUACAUUCAUCCCUGUUGUAUCUGCAUGGAAAUCAAAGGAGAUACAUCAUGUUUGAAUCCAGGCUUUUCUUUUCAGGACAUAUAGCACGUUUGUGGCUGGCUCGCAGAGCUGGAACUGUGCUGUGCCCCAGUGGGAAUCCGUGCAAGGGCUGCAGACAGCAGGGUUUGCUCCCCUGGGACAUGCUCUGGG